rnacentral:lncRNA from 1 species
AAAGGUCUCGGUCCCGUAGGCAUACGCCUCCGUAGUCAACGCUGUCCAAGCAUCGGUGGUGAUGGCAACUUUCUCCGUUAAGGACAGGAUCUCACGGAGCGAGGCUGCUGCUUCGCUGUACAUCUUCUCCAGCCGCACAGUCAUAGUUUGGCGACAUGGCACUGUAAUCGAGAAGCCCCUGACUGCAGCCCGCAGACGGAGCCCACAUGGAGGGGGCGGGCACUCAGUCCACAUGGAGGGGGCCGGCCCUCCGCCCACAUGGAGGGGGCGGGCACUCAGUCCACAUGGAGGGGGCCGGCACUCCGCCCACAUGGAGGGGGCGGAUACUCAUGCUGCGUUCGAGUAUUCUCUGCGAACCGACUCGGAUCUCGGAUCUGACGCCACGCCCGUCCACAUCGAGGGGGCGGCCACUCAGUUCACAUUGAGGACUGGUCAAACAGCAUGUGCAGCAUCUGAUCCCGUUUCUGACCUGAAAUUAGCUGAAAUGUACCUGAAAUUACCUGAAAUUAGAGUGUGCCCGCCCGAGCUAGUGAUGCCUAAAACAUGCAAAGACACGUCAGUGUAAUUAUGAAUGGCGAGAGCCCUGAAAUACAGCUGGACAGCAGCGGUCUACAUCACUGCCCCUUCUGCAGAUACAAAGGGUCAAAAUGUGAUAUCGACCAUCACAUUAAAUGCCAUGCCUCGGUUAAAUACAGAGGUCUGCAGAGGAGCUUUCAGGAAGCAGGAAGAGAAGACGGGAGGAAAAAAAAGCUACAGGAAGAUUAUGUUGUCCUGAAGGACACAAUUCAGGCAGCAGCAUGGUGCCAGUUACAGUCCUUCAAGGACAGCGUUUCUCUCCCAGAGGUCAUUGGGAUGGAAGGUUGGGAGCAGAUGGCAGCUUCAACACAGCGCAAAUCCCAUGACGGCGGGGAUGAGGAAGAAACGUGGAAACCAUUCCAAUUCUCAUUCAGAUUACAUACUGACUAUGAACUGUUCUGUGUGGAGAGGAUGGACAGGAGAAACCUGAAGGUGUUUGCCUCUUUUGAGUCAAACACCUCUCCCCCUCCCCGUCCCCCUCCCCGUGACGCCUGCGCCACACGACUCCAAUGUAGUCUGAUGAUGCAGCAUAAUGGCGGCGCUUGGCAGCUAUGGCGGCGGUGA